AUUGAACGCUGGCGGCAGGCUUAACACAUGCAAGUCGAGCGAGCGGCGGACGGGUGAGUAAUGUCUGGGAAACUGCCUGAUGGAGGGGGAUAACUACUGGAAACGGUAGCUAAUACCGCAUACCAUCAGAUGUGCCCAGAUGGGAUUAGCCAGUGGGUGGGGUAAUGGCUAACCUAGGCGACGAUCCCUAGCUGGUCUGAGAGGAUGACCAGCCAAACGGGAACUGAGACACGGUCCGGACUCCUACGGGAGGAAGCAGUGGGGAAUAUUGCACAGUGGGCGAAAGCCUGAUGAAGCCAUGCCGCGGGUAUGAAGAAGGCCUUCGGGUUGUAAAGUACUUUCAGCGAGGAGGCGUUACUCACAGAAGAAGCGCCGGCUAACUCCGUGCCAGCCGCCGCGGUAAUAC
rnacentral:rRNA from 1 species